AUACUAUUUGGUGGCUUUGA
rnacentral:misc_RNA from 1 species